AGACGGGCCCGCACAAGCAGCGGAGCGUGUGGUUUAAUUCGAUGCUACACGAAGAACCUUACCAGGUCUUGACAUCCCGAUGCUAUUUCUAGAGAUAGAAAGUUACUUCGGUACAUCGGUGACAGGUGGUGCAUGGUUGUCGUCAGCUCGUGUCGUGAGAUGUUGGGUUAAGUCCCGCAACGAGCGCAACCCCUAUUGUUAGUUGCCAUCAUUCAGUUGGGCACUCUAGCGAGACUGCCGGUAAUAAACCGGAGGAAGUGGGAUGACGUCAAAUCAUCAUGCCCCUUAUGACCUGGGCUACACACGUGCUACAAUGGUUGGUACAACGAGUUGCGAGUCGGUGACGGCGAGCUAAUCUCUUAAAGCCAAUCUCAGUUCGGAUUGUAGGCUGCAACUCGCCUACAUGAAGUCGGAAUCGCUAGUAAUCGCGGAUCAGCACGCCGCGGUGAAUACGUUCCCGGGCCUU
rnacentral:rRNA from 1 species